CAUCAUCCUUGCAGGUUGACCAAACCAGUUUGUGUGACUGUGCAAUCAUCAUUUGCCAGGCCAGCAUUGAGCUCACACUACGCAGUCCAGCGUGUCGGUCAUAUUUCGCGGUUGCGACAUUUGCAUUUGACGAACGCAAGAAUUUGAGCCAAGAAGUUAGGAAUUCUUCUGACCCCAAGGAUGUUCGAGAUAACGAUGACGUCACCGUCACUCUGCACAGCCCCGAAGAAACCGGACAGGCCCCAAGGUUGACCGCUAUUACCGCUGCCACAAAGGCUCAUGUCUUGAGGACCGAGUCUAUCAACGAUUGAAAAAUGAAAAUUCCACUGAUAUCGCAAAUCUGAAAAAUUUCAACUGACAUUGGCUGGACCAAUUUCUUCCAAUUAUAAACUCGCGGAUAAAGUCAUGGGUAGUGGGGUGGGUGGGUUAGAACAACAGAUUUUCAGUUUUGUCUGAGGUGUAUUGAGUCAGGUUGAGCGUACAGCCCAUUCAUGUGCAAGCAAAUAUAUUUGAUGAAUUGGAAGGUUAACUUUUCAAAUAACUGGGUUUGCUGAACUAGGAUAAAUUUCUCUCGCUGUUGGCUCAUAAGACAUUCAUAAGCAUGAAACAACAGACUCUGACACUGUAUUUAUUAGUUUCAUAUCGGUAUAUUUAUAAAUCGUCUCUGUAAUAAUACCCAACUAAAUUUAAAUUUUGUAUGCAUACUUUGAAAACGUUUGAUACCUCUCUUUCUCUAAUAUGAAACAUCAAUAAACAAAAUACUUUACAGCUGUCCAGUCUAAUGUGACCUUGAUACUUAAACUUUGCUAUACUACAAAAUGGUGCAAGAUGUAAAUUAACAACUCUCUACAGUUUUCCCAUAACAUCUCAUUUUCUUACUGACUGAAAUUGAAACUAGCCACAAACCCGAGUACUUGUCCUGUCUGGAUCACUUACACAAACCUAACCUAUCCAAAAGAAAAACAAACAGUAAUUUCUUCUAAAUUCUUUUUCAUGCUUGUGUGCUUUGAUUCUUAGCAGUUUGGCACAAUUGAAAUGUACUAAAAAAUAUUGUUUAUUUCAUGUAAUGUGACAGGUUAUCUUGUUUUUUUUUAGAGAACCUUUUGGAAGCACUUCAAGUUCAGUCAAUUAAUUGACUACAAAAAAAAAAAAAAAAAAAAA